rnacentral:rRNA from 1 species
UACGUAGGGGCAAGCGUUGUCCGGAAUGAUUGGGCGUAAAGGGCGCGUAGGCGGCUUUAUAAGUCUGGAGUGAAAGUCCUCUUUUCAAGGGAGGAAUUGCUUUGGAAACUAUAGAGCUUGAGUGCAGGAGAGGUUAUCGGAAUUCCCGGUGUAGCGGUGAAAUGCGUAGAUAUCGGGAGGAACAUCGGUGGCGAAGGCGGGUAACUGGACUGCAACUGACGCUGAGGCGCGAAAGUGUGGGGAGCAAAACAGGAUUAGAUACCCCCGUAGUCCCUGAG